GGGGGAUAUUGCACAAUGGGGGAAACCCUGAUGCAGCGACGCCGCGUGGAGGAAGAAGGUUUUCGGAUUGUAAACUCCUGUCGUUAGGGACGAUAAUGACGGUACCUAACAAGAAAGCACCGGCUAACUACGUGCCAGCAGCCGCGGUAAAACGUAGGGUGCAAGCGUUGUCCGGAAUUACUGGGUGUAAAGGGAGCGCAGGCGGACCGGCAAGUUGGAAGUGAAAACCAUGGGCUCAACCCGUGAAUUGCUUUCAAAACUGCUGGCCUUGAGUAGUGCAGAGGUAGGUGGAAUUCCCGGUGUAGCGGUGGAAUGCGUAGAUAUCGGGAGGAACACCAGUGGCGAAGGCGACCUACUGGGCACCAACUGACGCUGAGGCUCGAAAGCAUGGGUAGCAAAC
rnacentral:rRNA from 1 species